CAACCUUCAUCACCUUGCCGAAUUGAAGCUCUCUCCAAACCUCCAUAGCUCUUCCUUCAUGCAAGCUUCAAUUUCUCUCAAUCUCACCAUGAUUUCCACUAGUCCCUUCACAAGAAAUUGUCCACACAUCAUGGGAAGGCUAUAAGCAGCAAGAAAAGAAGCUUUGGUGAAGGUUGAGAAGUGGUAAACCAAAGGAGGCAUGAAUUCGGCAGCCAUGGACGUUGAAGAAGUUUGAGUUAUUUUUACAUGUAAUUGAUGGGCAAUGAAGUUGAUUAGGCUAAUUACGUAUACUAGCAAUUUGAUGUUAUGUGUAAGUUUGAAAUAGAUACUUUGAAGUAGGGUUAUGAAAUGAAUAUGGAAGUUGGGAGCAAUCUUUAAUUCGGCAGCCUUAAUCUUCAUGAGAAUAUGAUUAAUUCUUUCAUGUAUAUGGUGAUUAGUGAGGUUGAUUAGUGUGCUUACAUAUACUAGAACUUAAUUGUCAUGUGUAUGCUUGAGGUUGAUACAUUGAAGUAAGGUUUUGAAAUAAAUAUUAAAGAUUUAUGUGAA